rnacentral:rRNA from 1 species
UUGAGUGUUGUGGCGGCCCGUACCCUAAACCGACUCAGGUGGUCAGGUAGAGAAUACCAAGGCGAUCGGGUGAACUGUGGUUAAGGAACUCGGCAAAUUGCCCCCUUAACUUCGGGAGAAGGGGGACCUCUGCUGGUGAUGGGCUUUACGUUCUGAGCUGGUGGGGGUCGCAGUGGCCAGGGGGAAGCGACUGUUUACUAAAAACACAGGUCCGUGCGAAGUCGUAAGACGAUGUAUACGGACUGACGCCUGCCCGGUGCCGGAACGUUAAGGGGACCGCUUAGCCAACGCGAGUUGGCGAAGGUGAGAACUUAAGCGCCGGUAAACGGCGGUGGUAACUAUAACCAUCCUAAGGUAGCGAAAUUCCUUGUCGGGUAAGUUCCGACCUGCACGAAUGGCGUAACGACUUCCCCGCUGUCUCAACCACAGACCCGGCGAAAUUGCACUACGAGUAAAGAUGCUCGUUUCGCGCAGCAGGACGGAAAGACCCCGGGACCUUCACUACAGCUUGACAUUGGCGUUUGGAACGUCUUGUGUAGGAUAGGUGGGAGACUGGGAAGCUGUCACGCUAGUGAUGGUGGAGUCAUUGGUGAAAUACCACUCUGGUCGUUUUGAACGUCUAACUCUGGUCCGUGAUCCGGAUCGGGGACAGUGUCUGGUGGGUAGUUUAACUGGGGCGGUUGCCUCCUAAAGAGUAACGGAGGCGCCCAAAGGUUCCCUCAGCCUGGUUGGCAAUCAGGUGUUGAGUGUAAGUGCACAAGGGAGCUUGACUGUGAGACUGACAGGUCGAGCAGGAGCGAAAGCUGGGACUAGUGAUCCGGCAUCGGCGUGUGGAAGCGGUGUCGCUCAACGGCUAAAAGGUACCCCGGGGAUAACAGGCUGAUCUUCCCCAAGAGUCCAUAUCGACGGGAUGGUUUGGCACCUCGAUGUCGGCUCGUCGCAUCCUGGGGCUGGAGUAGUCCCAAGGGUUGGGCUGUUCGCCCAUUAAAGCGGUACGCGAGCUGGGUUUAGAACGUCGCGAGACAGUUCGGUCCCUAUCCGCUGCGCGCGCAGGAGACUUGAAGGGGGCUGUCCCUAGUACGAGAGGACCGGGACGGACGAACCUCUGGUGUGCCAGUUGUACCGCCAGGUGCACGGCCGGUUGGCUACAUUCGGAAGGGAUAACCGCUGAAAGCAUCUAAGCGGGAAGCUCGCCUUGAGAUGAGGUCUCCCACCCCGUGAGGGGGUAAGGCUCCCGGUAGAUCACCGGGUUGAUAGGCCGGAGGUGGAAGCACGGUAACGUGUGGAGCUGACCGGUACUAAUAGGCCGAGGACUUGACCAC